rnacentral:sRNA from 1 species
CCUAUGAAGAUUGCAGAUUGAUGAUUUCAGCAGGACAGCUAACAUUGCCUAUGGAAGCUGGGCUGGUGGAAUUUACUAAAAUUAGCCGGAAAUUGAAAUUAGAUUGGGAUGGUGUUCGUAAGCAUUUGGAUGAAUAUGCAUCUAUUGCGAGUUCCUCAAAAGGAGGAAGAAUUGGAAUUGAAGAAUUCGCCAAGUAUUUAAAGUUGCCUGUUUCAGAUGUCUUGAGACAACUUUUUGCACUCUUUGACAGGGUAUGUUAAAAUUUAAUCUUUCACAUUUUUACUCUGUCAGUCCUACACUGAGUAAAUCAAUAUGGUAAGCAAUUUGAAAAACUUGAUAGGUCAGUGUUAGAAGAAUCAAGGCUGAGCCCAUGGUUUAAUUGCAUGAUUUUUUUUCUCCUUAAUAGUAAUAUUAAUAAUUGUGUGUGUGUAUUGUAACAUUUAUUAUACUGUCAUAUAUAAUAUAAUAAAAUAUCAUAUAUCAUA